GCGGGCUCAACCCGCGGACGGCACAUGAUACUGCGAGACUAGAGUAAUGGAGGGGGAACCGGAAUUCUCGGUGUAGCAGUGAAAUGCGUAGAUAUCGAGAGGAACACUCGUGGCGAAGGCGGGUUCCUGGACAUUAACUGACGCUGAGGCACGAAGGCCAGGGGAGCGAAAGGGAUUAGAUACCCCUGUAGUCCUGGCAGUAAACGGUGCACGCUUGGUGUGCGGGGAAUCGACCCCCUGCGUGCCGGAGCUAACGCGUUAAGCGUGCCGCCUGGGGAGUACGGUCGCAAGAUUAAAACUCAAAGAAAUUGACGGGGACCCGCACAAGCGGUGGAGCAUGUGGUUUAAUUCGAUGCAACGCGAAGAACCUUACCUGGGCUUGACAUGUAAUGAACAACAUGUGAAAGCAUGCGACUCUUCGGAGGCGUUACACAGGUGCUGCAUGGCCGUCGUCAGCUCGUGUCGUGAGAUGUUUGGUUAAGUCCAGCAACGAGCGCAACCCCUGUUGCCAGUUACCAGCACGUGAAGGUGGGGACUCUGGCGAGACUGCCCAGAUCAACUGGGAGGAAGGUGGGGACGACGUCAGGUCAGUAUGGCCCUUAUGCCCAGGGCUGCACACGUACUACAAUGCCCAGUACAGAGGGGGCCGAAGCCGCGAGGCGGAGGAAAUCCUAAAAACUGGGCCCAGUUCGGACUGUAGGCUGCAACCCGCCUACACGAAGCCGGAAUCGCUAGUAAUGGC
rnacentral:rRNA from 1 species